rnacentral:lncRNA from 1 species
CACUGCCAGGGCAGUGCAGUGUGUGUGUGUGUGUGUGUGUGUGUGUGUGUGUGUGUGUGUGUGUGUGCAUGUGUGUGUGCAUGUGUGUGUGUGCAUGUGUGUUGGCAUGGGGGUGGUGGGCAGAGCCUUGGGCACUGGGGAGCUGCAGUCAUAUCAGGCUCCUCCCAGUCUGCCUCCUGAUACAUUCUGCUGUCUCCCGCCAUGCGCCUUCCUUUCCUCUCCUCAGUGGGAUGGAGGGUGUCUGGAUUCCUUGAACCCCUUCACUGACAAGCAGGUGCUGAGCCUCUCCCUCACCUGCCGCCCACCUGCACCCCCAUUUGUGCUGCAGAUGAUGAAGGACCCAAGACAGCGGACUGGUGACUCCUCAUCCUGGGACCCUGGAGUCAGCCUCCUCUGAGAGGCUCUCAAUGCUCCUGGAGUGGGUGCAGGAGGAGCCCCGUGCUCAGAACAAGUGAGUCCGCUUGGCGAUUGCCAUGGGCACUGGCUUUAAGCCCCAGCUGUGUGGACACUGGCGUGCCCUGUGCACACCAGGGCUCUGUGGACAUGAGCGGCUCCUGUUCUGCCUGAUGCCAGAGGGGCAGCGGCAUCUGACAACCCAGUGGCCCACUCCUGCUGAGAACCUGGGUGGGCACCUCCCAUCUGGAGAGUGCGUCAGCCAUCCGGCAGCCACACAACUUCCCAUGGCUUUGCUAUUAAAUGAGGCCAGUAAUGCAGCUCCAAGUGUGUGGUCUGUUUCCAGCCCUUGACCCUCAGGAUUCUUGGUUUGUUUCCUCAUCUCCCCUCAAUUUGGCCUGCUUCUAGUAGAUUUCUUUUUUUAAAGAAAGGAUUUACAAGGAGCUGGAGAGAUGGCUCAGUGGUUAAGAGCACCGACUGCUCUUCCAGAGGUCCUGGGUUUGAUUUCCAGCAACCACAUGGUGGCUCACAACCAUCUGUAAUGAGAUCUGAUGUCCUCUUCUGGUGUCUGAAGACAGUUACUGUGUACUUAUAUAUAAUAAAUUAAAAAAUAUUUAAAAAAGAAAGGGUUUACAAUAGCCCAAGCUGACCUAAUACUAGGUGUGUGCUCUAAGAUGGCCCUGAGCUUAUGGUAAUCCUCCUGCUGCAGCCUCUCGGGGAUUACAGACAGGACCCACCACAGCUGGUUUAGAACCGAG